rnacentral:lncRNA from 1 species
CAAAACAGCACAAAACACACGAUAAGAAGAAUAACAACAAAAAGAAUCCAAGAGAAGAAAAAUGAAAAGAAUCCAAGAGAAGCAAGACUUACAGGACUGAUAGAUUGGUUCUUCCUCUUGAGUUUUUUCUUUGAAGGAAAGAGAGAGCUGUUUUGAUCAAAUAUAGAGGGUCUUAGCUUUAAAGGAAGAAAGGGAGCAACUGCCAGAGAGCCCAUCUCCAAUUCCUCUCUGCAAUUAGAUCUUAGCUCCGACUUAUGAGGCACCCCAGAAAAUUGGAAGGACGCUCUGCUAAAAUACUUGCAAAGUACAGUAUUAACUCUCUAAAGUCAGCAAAAAAAA